UAUGGCAAAGAAACGUUUGCCGGGACAGCUAGUAUUAUUAUAGAAUUACGAUAUCAACUAUUAGAAUGGAAGUUGAACUUUAUGAUUAAUGGUCAUAAUUUCGAUGUUUAAACACAAUUUUAAAAAUACAAAAGUUUGACAUUACUUUUUUUAAAUUCUGUUUACCAUGGUCGAAGUCAAAAUAAUGACCAAGACCGUUAAAUGGUCAUAAAAGUUGGGUAGUUGGGCUGCUGACUGUUCCAUAACCAU